rnacentral:rRNA from 1 species
CCUACGGGUGGCAGCAGUGGGGAAUAUUGCACAAUGGGGGAAACCCUGAUGCAGCGACGCCGCGUGAGUGAAGAAGUAAUUCGUUAUGUAAAGCUCUAUCAGUAGGGAAGAAAAUGACGGUACCUGAGUAAGAAGCCCCGGCUAACUACGUGUCAGCAGCCGCGGUAAUACGGAGGGGGCAAGCGUUAUCCGGAUUUACUGGGUGUAAAGGGAGCGUAGACGGGAGUGCAAGUCAGGUGUGAAAGGCUGGGGCUCAACCCUCGAACUGCAAAUGAUACUGUGAGACUAGAGUAAUGGAGAGGGAGGCGGAAUUCUCGGUGUAGCAGUGAAAUGCGUAGAGAUCGAGAGGAACACUCAUGGCGAAGGCGGGUUCCUGGACAAUAACUGACGCUGAGGCACGAAGGCCAGGGGAGCGAAAGGGAUUAGAUACCCGUGUAGUC